GCUACCGGCAUCCAGCCCAGCUGAAUUUAUCCCAAUAACAAUAAUUUUCACGGCUGCAUUGCAGGCCAUCGUUUCAAACUGAUGCUUCCUCCAUGCAGAUUACCAGCUACAGUAGCUAUUGACAAUAACCCCUCGGUAGUUAGCGGUGAGCGUUAAAAAUACAAAACGAUUCAAUUCUCUUGACUUCAUGCUCUUCGGAGGUCAAAAGCAAUUGGCUCAAAGUCAAUACUGCAAAAAGGUGAAUAGCUGCAGCAUAAGCAUCCAUUCAGUAUUAUAGAGAUUCUUAUAUGAUGCGAGAAGCUAGUUAUCUAAAAUGGCCAAGUCGUCAAAGCAAUUAUUCAUCUGAAAUGAAAUGUAAAGUACAUGUACAUGUACAUACAAGCAAGCAUGUGCUCCCCCAUUCCGUCUCCGUGUUCUAAUUCCGCGACAAAAGAAAAAAAAAGAAAA
rnacentral:sRNA from 1 species